rnacentral:rRNA from 1 species
GUUGGGUAGGGGAGCGUUCUGUAAGCCUGUGAAGGUGGCCUGUGAGGGUUGCUGGAGGUAUCAGAAGUGCGAAUGCUGACAUAAGUAACGAUAAAGCGGGUGAAAAGCCCGCUCGCCGGAAGACCAAGGGUUCCUGUCCAACGUUAAUCGGGGCAGGGUGAGUCGACCCCUAAGGCGAGGCCGAAAGGCGUAGUCGAUGGGAAACGGGUUAAUAUUCCCGUACUUGGUGUUACUGCGAAGGGGGGACGGAGAAGGCUAUGUUGGCCGGGCGACGGUUGUCCCGGUUUAAGCGUGUAGGCUGGUUUUCCAGGCAAAUCCGGAAAAUCAAGGCUGAGGCGUGACGACGAGGCACUACGGUGCUGAAGCAACAAAUGCCCUGCUUCCAGGAAAAGCCUCUAAGCAUCAGGUAACAUCAAAUCGUACCCCAAACCGACACAGGUGGUCAGGUAGAGAAUACCAAGGCGCUUGAGAGAACUCGGGUGAAGGAACUAGGCAAAAUGGUGCCGUAACUUCGGGAGAAGGCACGCUGACACGUAGGUGAAGUGAUUUACUCAUGGAGCUGAAGUCAGUCGAAGAUACCAGCUGGCUGCAACUGUUUAUUAAAAACACAGCACUGUGCAAACACGAAAGUGGACGUAUACGGUGUGACGCCUGCCCGGUGCCGGAAGGUUAAUUGAUGGGGUCAGCGCAAGCGAAGCUCCUGAUCGAAGCCCCGGUAAACGGCGGCCGUAACUAUAACGGUCCUAAGGUAGCGAAAUUCCUUGUCGGGUAAGUUCCGACCUGCACGAAUGGCGUAAUGAUGGCCAGGCUGUCUCCACCCGAGACUCAGUGAAAUUGAACUCGCUGUGAAGAUGCAGUGUACCCGCGGCAAGACGGAAAGACCCCGUGAACCUUUACUAUAGCUUGACACUGAACAUUGAGCCUUGAUGUGUAGGAUAGGUGGGAGGCUUUGAAG